UACGGAGGAUCCAAGCGUUAUCCGGAAUUACUGGGCGUAAAGAGUUGCGUAGGUGGCACGGUAAGUUGAUAGUGAAAUCCUGGGGCUCAACCCCUUACCCAUUAUCAAAACUGCCAAGCUAGAGGACAAGAGAGGUCACUGGAAUUCCUAGUGUAGGAGUGAAAUCCGUAGAUAUUAGGAGGAACACCGAUGGCGUAGGCAGGUGACUGGCUUGUUCCUGACACUAAGGCACGAAAGCGUGGGGAGCGAACGGG
rnacentral:rRNA from 1 species